rnacentral:sRNA from 1 species
GGUAACUACCAAUACUGAGUCAUGGUGAAACCUUUAAGAGUCAUUAGUCAUGAGGAAAAGACCUCAAGAGGAGAGUAAUGCCUCUCUUAUGUAAAUGAAUUUCAUUUUGAGUCAAGAUUAGUUGCCUCCAAGAUCCGCCAAUCAAGAUCAUAGACUGAUCAAGCAGCUGAUCAUACAGCUACCAGCAGGGAAGUGAAGCCUGAUCCACAGUAACCUUGAGAGCAGUAACAACUACUCCAUACUAUGAAGAUCCUGCAUGAGAGUGAAUGGUAAGAAGACAGAGUCCCGCCCUUACUCAAUGUCCCCAGUGCUGAGAUCCAAGGAAUGAAGGCAUCUCUGAGGGCCAGAUAUGAUCCCUUAACACCAAGAGGGAGCAAGACCUGGAAAAGACUUUUGCUUUAAAAUUGUAAUCACAGAAAUAGGAUGAUGGACUCAUUAUAGUGGUCAAUGACUGACAAAGGCAGAUGGGUUAAGACUGCAUAAUACAGCCUUUUUAUCAAUUGCAUCCUCGUGCAACUCUAUAAUAAUUUUUCCCACCUUUUGUUGAUGGCAUACUUUUGGCCUCUUCAUAUGAUAAUGAGCUAGUGAUGUUAUUUUGCAAAGAGUGUGAAGAAACUAUUUUCACUCUGGUGCAGUGCAGUAAAAAUU